UACGUAGGGUGCGAGCGUUAAUCGGAAUUACUGGGCGUAAAGCGUGCGUAGGCGGUUCUGAAAGUCAGCUGUGAAAGCCCCGGGCUUAACCUGGGAAUGGCGGUUGAAACUAGAGGACUAGAAUCUGGCAGAGGGGGGUGGAAUUCCACGUGUAGCAGUGAAAUGCGUAGAGAUGUGGAGGAACACCGAUGGCGAAGGCAGCCCCCUGGGCUGAGAUUGACGCUCAGGCACGAAAGCGUGGGGAGCAAACAGG
rnacentral:rRNA from 1 species